ACAUUAACUCCUUCAGGGAAAGUCAUAAAGAGGCAGUGGACUAAUGGAAGGGAGCCUUGGCGAGCGGAGCGCAGCUGUCCCGUCAUUAGCCCCCGUGUUGGUUUCCACAGUGUGUUUGUUUGUUGAUCGGCGUGUUUUUGCACCUGCGGCGCCGACGCAGAAGGUCGUGGGAAAAAGGCCCGGCCAGAGGAAGCGGCCACGCCGAGAAACUCUCGAGGGAACGGAGGCUCUUCACCUUCGAACCCGACCCUCGUCUGGUGGCUUCAGCAGCACGGUGACGCUUUCCUCUGCGGCCACUGUGGUUUCACAGCUAAGGAGACAGAAAGGUUGGACUUGUCUUCUGCGGGGAAGACAGAGGACAGGACGGGGAAGACGAGGAGGGCAGAGAGCGCGGUGUCUGGGAUGCUUUUGAGACGCUCUGAGAUGAAAAAGAUGCUGUAGAAUCACUCAGCCAUGCCAGCCUGGCUGGUUACCGGGGGCAACCCUGUAAAUCUGACAUUACGGGCUGUUGACAGGAGAAACGGUUGUUAUCAUAACCCACAUCUGGGUGUUCCAGCAGUAAUGGUGUGUGCUGUGGGAGCAGCAGGAAUGGCCAUUACCAUCCAUGGAUCACUGGUGGGGGCCGGCACGCGGUGGACUAGGACGAGGGAAGGAGGAGCACAGGGAAGGUCAGAGAGGGGAAAUUGAGAGAGGAAGAAAAAAAAAUAACGCGGGCGAGGAAACGAGAAGGAGAGGUGUAUUAUUUGAAUGCCGUCGUUGUAAUGAAGUCAUUCCACAGCGUUUGUGACGAUUGGAGGAUUUUCUAAGCGCUUGAUGGAUUCAAUGCAAAUAAAGUCGCACGCAAGCAUUUUUCUGGUCGUGACAGCGUUUGGAUGAAAAUGUGCCCUCAAACCCGCAGAAUCAUGGGCGCUGAAAGGAGAAGAGAUUCAUGGAUGAGGCUCCACUUCAUUUGGUUAAACCUCAGGCGUCGCAUUCGCCGUCUGACCGGAGAGUCGGAUGGACGAGGGAAGCGUUGAUGAAGGCCGGCCAUUAACAUCACGUGGUUCUCCUUUUAAAGCAACGAUAAAGAUGGACCUGAAUUAACCUGCAAACUCACGCGGUUACGAGGGAGACAUGAUGAGUCUGAAUUAACAUUUUUUGCCGAACUGCCCUGUUUGUUGGUUGAAUUUAUUAAGACUAUUGAAGGCUUGGAAGACAAAUGAAGGAAUGCUGGAGGAAGACACAGUCCAGAGUUUAUUCGGGUGUAACUAAGCGAUAAGGUAGUAACACAUUACUUAUUAAUCCCAAAAACAAUGCAAUUUGUCAUAUUCGCCGUCAAAGAAAAGCAACACGGGGAAGAGAGAAAAUCAAAAAAGCGGCAAACAAAGCAGGAGAAGCGCAGCUCGUGUGACGGGAGGCCCGUCGUGGUCGUUCGGGGGGGCGGUUGUGGUGCGCGGCGGCAGGUUGUACCGGCGCUGACCUUUCUGUUGUAACAACCCGGGAAUAAAAGGGAAGUGCCACACAAAGAGCUCUAUUAACAGAGAAACCAGAUAUAAUGGGGAAACAAGAUGGGCCUUUAAUGGGGACAGGCAGGGCUGUCAGCAUGCAUAAUGUAACAGUCGUGUUAAAACAACACUGGGGCUCCAUGUGCUCCCCCUUCACACACACACACACACACAGAAACAAGCCUCUGUGAGAGACCCAAGUUAUUAAUUCACACAUUGGUCCUCAUCUAUGGAAUAUUCUCCCAGCGCGGCGCACAUUUCUCCUGCAAGGAUGGGAAUCAUUGUUGUGUGUAAUUAUGAAGACAAUGUUGGGAGGGAUUAUCAAAGAAGUAAGGGGGGGAGAUAAGAAAGCGGCGGAUGAAGAGGGUGCGGGGACGAGAAGAAAGGGGAAGUAGAGGGGGAUAGAAGUAACAGAGGCAGGGGUGAGAAGGGAAGGGGACGAGGACGGAGAGAGGAAAGAUUACCCCCCCCCCCCGUCCCUCUCUGUUUUGCGGCGCUAUCGUUCCCUCCUCCCUCGUUCCUCCUUCCUCCGCAUUAGCAUGAUAAAGACGCGGUGGAAUAGGGCAGCCGGCAGGUCUUUGGACAUGGAGACAAUGCUAUCGCCAGAGCAGGCGUCUGCAGCGGGGGGGACAGCCACCGAGGGACGGUGCACCAACAACACACGCACACACACACACACACACACACGCAUGUGCCCACUGAUACAAACCCAUGUAGACCGACAAACAUGUAAACACACACAGAGCGGUGGAUUAUAAUGAACCCGGAGGACUUAAACAAUGAGAGGUAACGCGCAGUCAAAGGCAGCGGAGUCUCCGCACAGAGAGACGAAACGCGUAGUGUCCCUUUAAGUGGAGCGCUGGAUGUUUGGUCCCUUAAAAGAAAUGCGUUUGAAUGAAGCAGAUGUUUCCACAUGGGCGCCUUUCACAGUUAGCCAUCGACCUCAGAAGCCAUCGGCCUUCGGCCCGGCGAUGGCGAAGCGUCCGGCGAGGUGCCUGCACGUCGGGGCAACCAGGACGUCCUGUUUCUGCAAAAAUGUCCACAGGCCGACUCCGCAGCACGACAUUCUGAACCCGCGAGGAGCUCCGUCAGCGGCGGGUGAAUUUGAAUGUUGCCGUUGCGGUCGAUGGUCGUGGAAAAAGAGGCCGCUUCCGGAGUGACCGGUCAGGCGGAAAAGGAGCGACGACUGACACCAGAACGCUUCUGGUGCCGGCUGCUUUUUGGGUUGCGUACACUUUGGUGGUACAUCUUCUCUCGUAUUGAGAGGAGCUUUUUAACCCUUUCAACUGGUGAUGGGGGUCUCAGCUGGGAGACAACAAGGACUGCUGAGGGGAAGCGAGGCUCUGGGAACCAGAACCAGGAUUUCUGCAGUAAAAUUAUGGAAAUGCAGACGCUGUUUGCAGCAUUAACAGGAGACCCGGUUCACAGCAGACGUUUACACAUUUUGUGUAAGCAGGAGAAGCACAAGUGGAACUAAUGAAGCUGGCAAUGACUCGUUUCCGUUUAGGAGCCUGAAUAAGUUGCGGUGAGCCAGCGUGGCAAAUCUAAAUGGAAUGUUUGUUCAGCUCUGAGAACUCAAAACAUCUGUGGUAAGAAAAGAAAAAAAGCCACGGUAAAUGACAAUAAAACCGAUGCUACCAGGCAAAUGAAGCUUUAUCUUCAUUUUGCAUCCAUUUUGGCAAAUAAUUACGUUUAAAAUAUCAAUUUAACGUCACUUAUAUUGUAUUACCUAUAUUACAAUUAUUAUAUAUUUUGCGUGUGCUUUAGUUCAUUUUAUUUUUAUUUUUUACAUCUAUAAAAUAUAUUUGUGUUCAUCUCAAAUACCUAAUGCUUUAUUUAUUUGGCUCUAAACAGUACGAACUGUUUUCCACAAAUCCAUUCACUUUUCUGAAUACAGUUUUAAUUCACUGACCCCCAAAAAAUGGGAAUCAUCAUCCACUUAUUUUUCUUCCUCUCUGUCUUUGUCUCUCUGUGUUGUUCAUCACCAACCACAUCAAUGAGUAGCUAGUCAGUCUAAUCAGUGAGAUGCACACACACACACACACACACACACACACACACACACACACACACACACACACACACACACACACCUGGGUCGUUCUCCAGGUGUGUUCCGGAGCUGUGGGCUCUGCAGGACGCCAGUGGACCUCAGAACUGGGCCACAACUCACGCUUCAACCCCCCCUGUUUUUUUUCUGGAGGGAACGAAAAAGAAAGAAAACAUUAUGGGUCAACGUGAACACACACACACACACACACACACAACAACACAGAUCUACAUGCUGUUAUAUGUGUAGACUGUACCCACCCGCAUGGAUCACAGGCAGCGCGUGAUGCCUGCGACGGUUGUCCAACCAUAACACACACGUGCACACAGGACACACGCGACACACACACACACUCACUUUCUGUAAAAACAUACAAAACUGAACAAACGGUGCAGACACAUGAGCAGGAACGGACACGCACCGGGACAUUCCGCUACACGCUUUCAAAGGAUCCUUUGAUGAGAUGAAGCCAAAAAUACGAUGUGAUGAUCAGAUAUUUGAGGAAAUGGAAAAAGAAAAAAGCCCCAAAUAAACUCAGAUUAGAGAACUUUUAUUGCUUACCUCUUAUAUUACAAAAACUAUUGCACCGUUUUAAAGAAGGGUAAAGAAUUUUAAAAAUGCAUUAUGACCAACAGAGCAACCAGACCGGAGCCGAGUGGAACAUUUAACAUUGGGGCAACAGAGCGGGUAAUAGUGAAUAAUGCACAGAAUAUUUUCCAAAUUCAGUGUUGAGAGAGACGAAUGGCUCCUUUGUGGUCCGACCGUCUCAGCCUGCUGUUCACAGCUUCUUCUAACUGAAACAGAUGUUGUAAUCAAGACACACUUUCGAAAAGGGUGAAAGUCCUAAAAAGACUGAAGAACAACGUGAUAGCGACCUGUCAAUCACAAUGUAGCCCCGCCCUCAAGCCUUCUCUACUCUACGGUCUAUUUGACUCUUUAUCGGGGACUAAAUGAUCAUCGGGAUGUGUUGAGGUAUUGAGGAAACAUUGAAGUUUUCAAUGUUUACUGAGGUAAUGAAUAAAAUCAGAAGUCAGAUUAUUUACUCAUUGAUUGUUUUUGCAUUCAAAGAAGUCGCCCCCUGAUGGACAUUAGAGAGAAUGCACCUCAGUUUGCCUUCACUCUUCACAACACGAGCUUCCCAUCAAUGGAAAUUGAGUUUGUGUGUGUGUGACGGCCUGCUUUGAACAGGGCACACACAGACACACACACACACACACACACACAUGUCCCGCAGUCAGUCACAGCUGCAGAUAAACACAGCUUUCCUAGAGGGCGGUGAUGAUGAUUGACGGGUAGAGGAUAAUGUCAGUCAUCCCGCACUGUCUCUGUUAGAUGAUGUCAUUGUGCUGCCUGGCACCUCGCUGAUGCAGCAGAUACGGAACGAUCAAAGGAGGGCGAGAGAGAGAGGGAGAGAGAGAGAGAGAGAGAGACUGUGUGAAUGUGUUUACCAGUGAAAAAGUCUACAUUCAAGUUGAGAUCACACGAAUGAAAAGAAACAUACAUU
ensembl:lncRNA